rnacentral:rRNA from 1 species
UACGAAGGGGGCUAGCGUUGUUCGGAAUUACUGGGCGUAAAGCGCGCGCAGGCGGCUAUCCAAGUCAGUGGUGAAAGCCCGGAGCUCAACUCCGGAACUGCCAUUGAAACUGUUUAGCUUGAGGAUGAGAGAGGUGAGUGGAAUUCCCAGUGUAGAGGUGAAAUUCGUAGAUAUUGGGAAGAACACCGGUGGCGAAGGCGGCUCACUGGGGGUCUUCUGACGCUGAGGAACGAAAGCCAGGGGAGCGAACGGG